AUGGCCGGGCGGCCGCGGUUCCCCUCGCGCAGGCGGGCGGGGGCCGAGGAAGGUCCGGGCUCCACGGAGGCACGGCGCCGGGUAACGCCCGGCCGGGGAAACCCGAGGGAAAGCGCCACAGAAAACAGACCGCCCGGCGCGCCUUUCGGGGCCGCCGCGGCAAGGGUGAAACGGCGGUUUAAGAGACCACCGCGUCCCUGGCGACAGGGACGGCACGGCAAGCCCCGCCGGGAGCAAGAUCAAGUUGGGUCGCGCGCGCUUCGAUGCGCAGGGGGUCGCCUUCGCCCCCGCGGCCGUGGUGGAUCGCGAGAACCCGUGCGCGAGCGCGGGUCCAGAUGAAUGGUCGCCCAGGGGUCUUCGGACCCUGGACAAAACCCGGCCUACAGGCCGU
rnacentral:RNase_P_RNA from 1 species